rnacentral:rRNA from 1 species
CCUACGGGAGGCAGCAGUGAGGAAUAUUGGUCAAUGGCCGGAAGGCUGAACCAGCCAAGCCGCGUGAAGGACGAAGGUUCCAAGCAUUGUAAACUUCUUUUGUCAAGGGACAAAAUCAGGCUCGAGAGCCUGACCGCAGGUACUUGAAGAAAAAGCAUCGGCUAACUCCGUGCCAGCAGCCGCGGUAAUACGGAGGAUGCGAGCGUUAUCCGGAUUUAUUGGGUUUAAAGGGAGCGUAGGUGGUUUGUUAAGUCAGUGGUGAAAGUUUGCGGCUCAACCUUAAAAUUGCCGUUGAAACUGGCAGUCUUGAGUAUAGUUGAGGUAGGCGGAAUGCGUGGUGUAGCGGUGAAAUGCUUAGAUAUCACGCAGAACUCCGAUUGCGAAGGCAGUUUACUGGACCGUAACUGACACUGAGGCUCGAAAGCGUGGGUAUCAAACAGGAUUAGAUACCCCUGUAGUC